rnacentral:rRNA from 1 species
UAGGGAAUCUUCGGCAAUGGGGGGAACCCUGACCGAGCAACGCCGCGUGAGUGAAGAAGGUUUUCGGAUCGUAAAGCUCUGUUGUUAAGGAAGAACGAGUGUGAGAAUGGAAAGUUCAUACUGUGACGGUACUUAACCAGAAAGGGACGGCUAACUACGUGCCAGCAGCCGCGGUAAUACGUAGGUCCCGAGCGUUGUCCGGAUUUAUUGGGCGUAAAGCGAGCGCAGGCGGUUAGAUAAGUCUGAAGUUAAAGGCGGUGGCUCAACCAUUGUAGGCUUUGGAAACUGUUUAACUUGAGUGCAGAAGGGGGGAGUGGAAUUCCAUGUGUAGCGGUGAAAUGCGUAGAUAUAUGGAGGAACACCGGUGGCGAAAGCGGCUCUCUGGUCUGUAACUGACGCGGAGGCUCGAAAGCGUGGGGAGCGAACAGG